UUUGUUAAGGAGCGCUUGGCGCCAGUCUGCUGGCGUCCCACAACAAGAACCCUUUCCUGUCACUUCAUAUUUAACCCCAAAUCUUCAAACAGCGUGCUCCAAUCCCCUCUGCAUUCCCUCUAAGGCUGCAGCCCAUGGUAGAUCUUUAACUUCGGAUUUCCUGCACUUGCCACAUAUCGGCGAUAGUUUGGCUAUAAUUAUUUAUUCCAAUGCGGAUUCUUAAUUAAUGAAUGAAGAGUUUCCCAGACUCAAACCCAGUUUAAAACAUUCAAACUUCAGCUGAAUACACCGGACCUCUGUCACAAUGGUGAGACUCUUCAUAAUUUUACCCUCAUAAACGCUAUAAAAUGCAAUAUGUUUUCACAUUAUAUUUUCUUUCUGUUAUUUUCUUUCUGUUUAGCAUUUUAUCUCAUUUUGAACGAAUUGUCACUUGUUUGUAUUGAAGAAAAUGAUAUGAUUAUCUUAUUUUGAAAACAUGUAGUCACACGUAAUAUAUUACUAAACGUUGUUUUAACUUUUAACAGUACAUUUUCAGUGGUAUGCUGCAAUUGUAUUUACAUUAUAUGACAUUUACAGAUCAUUCAAACGAUUAGGGGAGAAGAAGUGGAGAAUGGAACGUAGGCCUACACACCGUAGGUGUCGAUAAUGGUGUGUCUGGAUGAGUCCACUGAAAGGUGUUUGGUAUUUAGUAGUUUUGUAUGCCAUAACCUUUUAGAACUAUCAAAAAACACCAGAAUGGCCCGCGGACUUUUGCCAUUGAGAAGCGCAACAUCGGGUUAGUUAUAAAACAAAACAUUAACACGGCAAUAGUGAGGCUAGACCAAUCAUAGACUAAUAGACUAAACAGUAAGGUCAGGUAAGUGAAAGGCAUUGUUGAUUUUAUUUUAUUUUAUAGAAUGUAUCUUUUCUUGUUGAAGGUAGAUAUAGGCCUACUUUCUUGUGACAUGUUUCCAUGGCAAACAUUCAUAGCCGACUUAAACUGUGGAAUAUCAUUUCACAUGAUUCACUAAAUGCUAGGCUUUUCGACCAGUCAAGUUCGAAUGUUAAAGAAACUUCGUCAUUUGCAGAAGGAAAAAAUACAACCAUGACAACCAUUAGGCCAAUACUUUAUUACGAUUCAUAUUUUUACAGUGAAUAUCAUAUGCCUAUAGAGUUGGUUGAUGGUAAGGUCCCAACACCUAUAGUUUAUGCCUACCAAUAUAACCCACACAAUCACGAGGCCAAUUCUGAGUGUUUGUGUCUGCAAUUCCCCGAUCAAGAACGUUGUACUUAAGGCUGUGUUUGAGCAAUGGUAAUAGCCAAUUAGUGUACAGUCUGACCGCAGUUGCUGAAAUAAAGUAACAGAAAAAACACUAUUUUGCAAAUAUUAUUUUUUCAGUAACACAUUUGGUAGGCUACAUAUAGACUACUGCUACUCCAUAUUUUAAGUCUUUGGGAUGCAAAAGGUUUAAACCCACACGGAGACAGAUAAUGAUUUCCUAUGUAUAUAUAUCAUUCAACUAAUUACAUAAACCAAGGCAGACAUUAUGCUCAAUUUAUUUGUUUUAGGGGUUCCACAGUAAGCCUAUGCGCAUAUAGGCCUAGUUGAUGUUGUGGUUUUAUUUAGGCCUAGCCUAUAGGUCUAUGUGUUAGCUCGGUGAGUGCACAUGGACCUUUGUAUCUUAACUUUUGUUUUUAACUUUAACUUCAACCUAAAUAAUUUAUCAUGUUGAGCGAAAUGAGUGUGUCAAUUUGUAUUUGUUCACAUGACAGAAUUAGGUGCACAAGUCACUAGUGCUAUAGUCUACCCAGCUAGCACAUAACGUUCUGAGAACAAUAUGUUUCUCAGAGUUUGGCGAGAGCAUGAAUGUCUUAUGGUUAUUUUUGCAUGCAACCUUCACACAACUUUCUGGGAAUGGUGCAGGAUAGUUGAUUGGCUUUGGAACAUUCUCAGCACAUUUAAGGAACUUGAAAAAAAAAAAAGUAAUUUCAUUACUUUAACAAAACAUUUCCUAAAAGUUCAAAAAUGGUUUACAAGUUGGAUAUUUUCAUUUCCAUUUUGGUAAUGUUCUAGCAGCAUUCUCCAGCUGGUUUGACAGAAUGUUCUCAAAUAGUUCAGAGAACUUUAAGAAACAACAUUCUUCUGUGAGAAUUUCUGUACUUCAGCGUAAUAUUUCCUACAGGUUUCCUCAUGGUUUUAUUUAAAGUAAUGUUCUCAACUUGUUCAAAGAAAGCUGUCUUCAUCAGGGUAUGAUCAAAAACACUGUGGGAUGACUCGUUUAUAAAGUGUCAAAAGACACACAGGUGUCUGUAAUCAUGGCCAAUAGUGGCCUAAUAUCAUUGGUUAAUUCUCAAAUAUUAAAAUGGCAUACAAAGAACAGCAUACAAAAAACAAAUGGAUAGCAACCUAAAAAAUAUACCGAACAGGCAAAAUGUUUACUUCUGUUCUCGGAACAUUUAAAGAAAAGUUCAAUUUUACAGGUCAGGAAACAUAUGGCUUCCUUCCCACAACCAAUGUGAAACCUAAAACAUAAAUUCUCACAACUUCCAAGGAACCAAAUGUGCUAGCUGCGUAUAGCCUGCCAAAAUAGCCUAGAUAUGUGGUGUAGGACCUACACUUUAUAUGAGAGAGCAUAUCGAGUAAAAAAACACAAAUUAUUUCAAAUGUAUCGGAUACAAGAUGUUUGUCCCCCUGCCAUACCAUAUGCUGUUAUAAAUCUGCUCUACAUGUCCCUUGAUUUUUUUUCAUCAUUCCCCUUCCAUCAUUCCCCUUCCAUCUCUCUCUCUCUAACUGCUCCUUGGCUAUAUUUAUCCUGAGGACUGAGGUCUUGGCGCCAGACCGUUUAAGACCUGUCAGAGUCCCUCAUAUUCCCGCGUCACAUAGCCAAGGCAAAAAGUCUUCCAGUCUUAAAAACUAAACCGAUCCCCCUCGCCCUCCAACCCCUGGUCAUGGUCAAUUCCCUCACUUCACUCUUCGCGUUCGUUGAUUCAUUCAUUCAUUCGUCCAUCCAUCUAUUUGUUCAAAUCUGGGUUUAAUCCCGUUGCGUCGCAUCAGUAUUUGGGGGUUUAGAAAUUUGCUCUUCGUCGUGACUGUCUCAUCUCAUUGACCCUAGUCAGUGGGGCCGCGGUCCAGUUCCCUACCCCAGCCAGUUCAACAAAGUCUAACGGAUUGUUGAAAACUAUCAUCAUUUAUUCAUAGCAACAAUCGUUGGCGUGCACUCCUUACCCAAAUUUGCCCCAGUUUUCCUGAUGAUGCCCCCAUACCUACUCAUAUCGACCUACUCUCCUUAAUCCUCAAUUAUUCAUGCGGAUGCUUAUUAUCUAACAGGCUUAAAUAUAUUUAUGCUACUGCAUGUUUAUAGAAGCAAGUGUUAAAUAUAGGGCACUCCAUAUGCCUUGUUCAUAAUAGCCUACAUGUUAUUUCAGCUGGAGAUUAAAUGGAAUAUGGGCUAAUUAACCUGCGCCAAUUACUGCACACUCAUGUACUCCAUAAGGGGAUCUUGGCAGAAGCCUUAAGCCUUAACCUAUCAUUAGUUACUGUAGGCUAAUCAUGUCUGCCGGAGGAUACUGGCUCCGCUGGGAUCCUGGGAUGUGGGAAUUAAGGUCAAUACGAAGAGCACCUUUCACUUAGAUAUAACAGGCGGGAGCGCCAAAUUUAGGGUCGACAGGGAUUUGAAAAUAUAUAUGUUUUUCAAUCUAACUCGAUGUUUCACCACAAAGAAAAUGUAUCCAGACUAAACGAGUAUGUAUAUUGAUUUAAUUUGAGUGACUAUCGUAAGUCAUUUGUUUAUUCAAAACUGUAAUAUGCUAUAGCCCUCUGCAGUGAGGCUGUCAUUGCCAUCAUUAUAAUGAUUGCAUUCCCUUGUAGGCAACCACUCACAGUCGUCAUUACCUUUAGAAUGGAAUUGUGGGACUUUUAUAUCCAUGUUCAUAACCUAGUUAUGUGACCCAUGUAUUUUACAUUAGUUUGCCUAACAAUUAUUUUAUUUCUUCAUAGGAAGGGAUGCACUUUCACUCUUUAAUUGAAAACUUGAUUCACCUGCCGCACCACUGAACCGGUUGAAAACACGAAAUGGUUCGUCGAUCAAAGACAAGUUUUAUUCGGUAGAGUAAUUCAUAUCAACUUGCUUCUUUUAAACAUAAAACGUUUUGAUGAUGACAAUAUCGACCCACAGUGGAUGCUUUAAAUGCCAUCUUCACAGAUAAUUGAUUCAGUAGCUAAAGCUUUUUUGAAUAAUACAAAUAAAGUCAACAGGGACAAUUCGAAUAUACUUUUGUGGUUAUGGUAUAGCAGGGCUCGAUCUUGUUUGAGAAUCUUACACCAGUGUUUCCCACACGCCCAAACUACCUGCUUAUUGUAUGGACACAACAUUUUAGUGGGCCAUUAACUAUUUUCAGUUGCAUUUCCAACAUCGCCGGUAUUACACUUGGUUGUAGAACAACUAAUAGACACCAUUGUUGAAAUACAUCUGAUCAGCUCAACAAACUUGUUUAUCUUAACGGCUUACUAGUCACAUAUAAUAAAGCCUAAAUAGGGUUAAGUAUUUUAAUUAACGAAUUAACUUGAUCAAUUAAUCUAUUGGAUGACCAUCAAAAAUGUAAAAUAAAGACGUACCAAAUGGCCUGUUGAUUCAAAGUUCAAAUCCAGAUUAUAAUUGGAAUAUGCAUGACUUUGAUACAUUUUACAUGAUUCUUUUUUGACAAUUAAAAACACACUUUAAACAAUAAUUAAUAGGCUAACACGUGCUCUGGUCUAUAUUUUUUUGUGUAUGAAACAUUGAUGGUUUGUCUAUCGUUUACACUAAAGCCUCUCAUUGUAAACUGAUAUUUCUCUUAAUAGCUACAUUUUACAUUAUUGAUAAAAAUAUAUAUUUUUGUUAGUUUAUCAUUAAUUAAACACUUUUUACAUAUAAUAAUAUAUAUUCAUAUACUAUAAACAAGUACUCCAACUAUCACUGCAAGAACUGCAAGAAUAUUCAACAUUUCUAUCUGAAGACUGUUGGAACAUACCAAGGAACGGAGGACUUUUUCAGACAGUCUAUCCUAAUGCUAAACUCUGUAUGAUCUCUCUAAAAUAGCCAUGUCAAUAUUCAAUAACAUUUCUGAUAAUGUGACAUAUCAUAUUUUUGACAUAUUUCUUGUGUCUGACAAUGUCUAAUGAAAGCCACAAUUUGAUUAAUAAGCAUACAAUAGCCUAGAAGGCCUACUUUUAAAAACAAAUCACUAUCCAUGGGUGUGUCUUAACAACUUAACUGCCAGCCACAUACUUGUAAAACUAUAUCAAAUGUAUAUUUACAGAGCAGUAUCGUGCCUGUAGCGCUACCCUAUAAGGUCAUAGAAAAAUGUAUACAGUAUCUGAAUUCCUGCCCAAUAUCACACAUGGUAACCAAUAUUAUUUUUUAACUUAACAAUUUCUACAGUAUUUCUGAUCUAAUAAUACAUGUGUAGUAAAGUAAAAAUCCAUGUGAGUGAGGACAAUUGCAGAUGCAGUUUGAAGCGAGGGCGAGGAUUUCUUUUAAGGCUGUUAUCAGCGAGAUGAUGCCAGCCAAAGAGGUCAACUAAUGCCAAAUAUGUACAUUGUAUUCUUCCAUAUUACUCCUGAAGGACAAUGCUUAGAUCUGUGUAACAGUGAAUCACUAUACAGACUGAGUCCUCAUACAAGGUAUAUGUGUGUGUGUGUGUGUUUGUGUAUCUGUUUUUCAUUCCUUCAAUAAAGACAACUUCAGUGCUACGGUUGGCCUUUUUCUCAUCCUAUAUGAAUUAUGUUCCAGCUACAAAAAAUCCCUUAAUGAGUUAUUUUGUCUGUACUCUGUUACAUGUCCACAAUCCCUCACACUGAACCCUGAAGCAGAGAAACAAGCCUGUUUAGCUGAUUCAUUAUAUGGUUCAAGGUUUUCUUUUGAAGACAUUAUUAGAAACAGACACAAACUUUUUCACUGAAGAAAUUAUAUUGUCUCUUGUCAAUGCUCAAUUGAAACAAGUCAUAUGUACUGACAGUAUAACAGCAGACUCAUAACAAUUUCUGAUUAAUUUAAUAAGGAAUCAGUGUCCAUUGAAUAUAAGCCUUUUUUUUUACACAAAACAAAAGAGUUACCAUCACUGAGGUUAGACCUAAAACAGAACUAACUUUGCUGCAUUACUGUUCAUAAUGUGAUACAACAAGCAGAAAGUUCAACAAAUACGGUAUCAUCGUUACCACACUGCAUGUGAUUGCAGGUGUCAAGGGCAGUGUCAUGCUAGGGGCAUUCUAUGAGUUGCUGUAAGCACUAUAAAGCUGCCUUUGGACCAGGCUAGAGGGCAUGUCCAGGUUAAUAAUGAUUCAUGAAGCCUUCAUUAACUAUUGGCAUGCUUCUUGAUUGUCAACAAAGUGGGAUUUAUCAUAUUAUAUGAAAUGAAAACCAUCUGACCAUCACGUGUGAUGGCCUUUGGACUAAAUUGUGCCGCUGAUGCUGCUGCUUUAGCACAAUGUCCAUUACGUUACCCAUUCAUUUAGCAUUUGGUAAAGCAAUAAUCAUAUAAUAAAAAAAGAAGUGUACAAAUCUAUGUGAACUAUCUUGCGGGUUACUUUGUUGUUUUCUUGGUUGGACAGAGUGCUUUCCAAACUUUGUGUUGGUUGGUCAUCCCAUGGGUCUGUCUUGACUCAGUGAUUUUCCCCUGAUCAAAGGCCUAGCAGAGAAUGAGGGGGAGGCCAGCUAACCUCCUGUGUUGUGGACUGUAAGGUGGAUGCAAUAACCUGAAAGGUCAGCAUCUCCCCAUAUCAACACUGCCACACUGACCGGUGGAAUGUUCACAUCAGGGUCAGGAGCAUCAGAAGAAGACUAAAAGGAUCCAGCAAAUGUGUUUGUUGUGUCAUCAUAGUGGUCUCUGACUUGUGGUCAGACUCAGUCAGGUGGAACAACAUGACUGAUUUUCCGCUAGCUAGAGGUUAACUUAAAUGUUUUCCUUUUUUAAGGCUGAAUUGAAUGUCAUUGAGAAAACAGAAAGGUGUCAUAAUAUACAGUAUAUAUUUUUUGCAAACAUUAUUUCUGCAUAUAAGGGUUACCAACACAUAAGGUAAUCAUCUAGUUUUUCUAAAGUGUCUGUAAUCUGAUUACAAUAUUUUUACUAGUAAUGUAAUUGAUUAGUUACAAUUUUGUAAUCAGUUACUUCCCAACACUGGUGGGAGGGGUAUACCAGCUUUACCAUCGGACACUAAUCACCUGAUUAUAAAAAAAUGACAUACUCUCUCCAUCGCUUGUUGAAGGUGUUUGAUAUAGGCUCUUAAAUUGAGGUGGGUUAUCAAUAUGUAUUUGUCAAAGGCUCUGGACAGCGAGACUAUCAGUAUCUGUCAGAUGGAAUGCAUUAUCUCAGUAACCAGAAAUAUGUGUAAACAUCUUGGGAACAAUUUGCUCAAAAUAUUAAAGGCAAAGUUUUUUCAAAUUA
ensembl:lncRNA